UACGAAGGGGGCGAGCGUUGUUCGGAAUUACUGGGCGUAAAGGGCGCGUAGGCGGCCGAUCAAGUUAGAUGUGAAAGUCCUGGGCUUAACCUGGGGACUGCAUUUGAUACUGAUUGGCUUGAAUUCGGGAGAGGAUAGCGGAAUUCCCAGUGUAGAGGUGAAAUUCGUAGAUAUUGGGAAGAACACCGGUGGCGAAGGCGGCUAUCUGGACCGAAACUGACGCUGAGGAGCGAAAGCGUGGGGAGCAAACAGG
rnacentral:rRNA from 1 species